CAUUGAAACAUUAGUUCCCAUACGAUCAUUGAAGUUCAGCAACGUUGAGUCUGGUCAGUACCUAGAUAGAUGAUCACUUGGGAAUACCGGGUGCUGUAAU